rnacentral:rRNA from 1 species
UGAGGAACAUGACUUUCGGCGGGGGAUAGCCGGCCCAACGGCCGGGUAAUACCGCGUACGACCUUUUGGGGACAUCCCCGAUUGGUGAAAGCAGCAAUGCGCCGAAAGAGUGCCUCGCGGCCUAUCAGCUAGUUGGUGAGGUAACGGCUCACCAAGGCGACGACGGGUANCUGGUCUGAGAGGAUGGCCAGCCACAUUGGGACUGAGACACGGCCCAGACUCCGUACGGGAGCAGCAGG